AACGCAUAUUGCGCCCCCUGGUAUUCCGGAGGGCAUGCCUGUUCGAGCGUCAUUUCGACCCUCAAGCUUUGCUUGGUGUUGGGCGCCUUGUCUCCCAAGAUCCUGGAGACACGCCUCAAAAUCAACGGCGCCGGCGGUUCGGUCCGGAGCGCAGCAGAUCGCUGCUCCUGCACCUAUAGCCUGCUGGCUUCCGUAAGCCACAAAACCUAAACUUGACCUCGGAUCAGGCAGGGAUACCCGCUGAACUUAA
rnacentral:misc_RNA from 1 species